GACGAACGCUGGCGGCGUGCUUAACACAUGCAAGUCGAGCGGUAAGGCCCUUCGGGGUACACGAGCGGCGAACGGGUGAGUAACACGUGAGCAAUCUGCCCUUCACUCUGGGAUAACCCCCGGAAACGGGAGCUAAUACCGGAUACGACCACUUCGGACAUCCGAUGGUGGUGGAAAGUUCCGGCGGUGAAGGAUGAGCUCGCGGCCUAUCAGCUUGUUGGUGGGGUAACGGCCCACCAAGGCUUCGACGGGUAGCCGGCCUGAGAGGGUGACCGGCCACACUGGGACUGAGACACGGCCCAGACUCCUACGGGAGGCAGCAGUGGGGAAUAUUGGACAAUGGGCGAAAGCCUGAUCCAGCAACGCCGCGUGAGGGAUGACGGCCUUCGGGUUGUAAACCUCUUUCAGCGCAGACGAAGCGAAAGUGACGGUAUGCGCAGAAGAAGCACCGGCCAACUACGUGCCAGCAGCCGCGGUAA
rnacentral:rRNA from 1 species